AUGUCUAAAAUUUUCCACUAGGCAGUGGCUGGCUAUUCGCUGUAUAGUUUCCUUUAAUCUUAUUUCCCUUCCUUUACUCCGCCCUGCGACCUAGAUCUAUAUUAGCCCAAAUCCCGUGGUUAAUACUAUCAAAACAAAAACAAAAAUACACCACUGCAUUGUACCUCUCAUUCUCCUAAGUCUGACCCAUAUCUUUCGACGAAUGAAAAUGAUGCAUUAAACAGAUCUAGACCCAAAUCGAGAACUGCGUUUUGGGAAAAAAAAUGGAUUUCUAGUUCUACUUAAAGAUCUAGAUCUAGAUUAUAUUUUGCAUAUUAGUUAACUUCACUUACUACAGUUGCGGAUUUCUUUUUCUAAUACCGGCAAGAAAAUAUCCCCUCUAGAUCUGUCCAGAGGUUCUUUAGGUAUUUUUGAGUUGUGAACUCAAUCAUGAAACCUCAAAAUAUGACUGAUCGUGAGGGCUGGGUUGGAAAGCUAGACUUUAUUUUGACCUGUAUUGGAUACGCCGUUGGACUUGGAAAUAUUUGGAGAUUUCCUUACCUUUGUUAUAAAAGUGGCGGAGGUGAGUUUUGCAUUGUUCCUCUGAAUCACAACCUUUAAGUGUUAUUCUUAAUCAGUUCAGCACGCUAACCGCACGACUAGGUAUUGCUCUUGACUUAAUAACAAACUGGUU
rnacentral:sRNA from 1 species